rnacentral:tRNA from 1 species
GCCCGGGUGGCGAAAUGGUAGACGCGGGGGACUUAAAAUCCCCUGUCUUCGGACGUGCGGGUUCAAGUCCCGCCCUGGGCA